rnacentral:rRNA from 1 species
AAUGGGGGCAACCCUGACCGAGCCAUGCCGCGUGAACGAUGAAGGCCUUAGGGUUGUAAAGUUCUUUCGCCAGAGAUGACAAUGACAGUAUCUGGUAAAGAAACCCCGGCUAACUCCGUGCCAGCAGCCGCGGUAAUACGGAGGGGGUUAGCGUUGUUCGGAAUUACUGGGCGUAAAGCGCACGUAGGCGGAUUGGAAAGUUAGAGGUGAAAUCCCAGGGCUCAACCCUGGAACUGCCUUUAAAACUCCCAGUCUUGAGUUCGAGAGAGGUGAGUGGAAUUCCGAGUGUAGAGGUGAAAUUCGUAGAUAUUCGGAGGAACACCAGUGGCGAAGGCGGCUCACUGGCUCGAUACUGACGCUGAGGUGCGAAAGCGUGGGGAGCAAACAGGAUU